GACGAACGCUGGCGGCGUGCUUAACACAUGCAAGUCGAACGGGAUUUAGUAAACAGAAGCCUCGGUGGAAGAUUACUAAUGAGAGUGGCGAACGGGUGAGUAACGCGUGAGCAACCUGCCUAUGACAGUGGGAUAGCCUCGGGAAACCGGGAUUAAUACCGCAUAAAAUCGUAGAAACACAUGUUUUAACGGUCAAAGAUUUAUCGGUCAUAGAUGGGCUCGCGUCUGAUUAGCUAGUUGGUGAGAUAACAGCCCACCAAGGCGACGAUCAGUAGCCGGUGGGGGAGGGGGAACGGCACAAUUGAAAUUGGGCCCAGGCCCAAACUCCAGGGGGAGGAAGGGGUGGGGAAAUUUGCAAAGGGGGGAAAACCCAGAAACGCCGCGGCCGGGGGAACGAAAAGGGUUUUGUAACCCAAAAUUUCUUGCCAAGGGGAGUAAAAGAACGUAACCAGAAAAGAAGCCCCCGCCAAAAACGGG
rnacentral:rRNA from 1 species